UAGUAACGGCGAGCGAACAGGGAAGAGUCCAGCGCCGAAUCCCGCGCCCCUCCGGGGUGUCGGGAAAUGUGGCGUUUGGGAGUGAGCGUGCCGGUGGUCGGCCCCGCAGCAAGUCCCCCUGACCGGGGCUCUUUCCCAGAGUGGGUGCGAGGCCCAUAGCUGCGGGACCUCUGCCGGAUGCGAGCUCCUCGGAGUCGGGUUGCUUGGGAGUGCAGCCCUAAUCGGGUGGUAAACUCCACCUAAGACUAAAUACGGCCGUGAGACCGAUAGCAAACAAGUACCGUGAGGGAAAGUUGCAAAGAACUUUGAAGAGAGAGUUCAAGAGUACGUGAAACUGCUCAGAGGAAAACGGGUGGGCCCUCGAAGUCCUGCGGUGGGAGGAUUCAGUCGGCCGCGGCGAGCGGAGUGGACGGCAGAGUGGCUUCCCGAGACGGGACCCCUCCGACCGCCCGUGGCGCUGCCGGCCGACGCAAUUGUUUCCCACCCGAAGGACGCCGCGACCGGUUGGUGGAACGGCCUUAAGGGCGGACGAAGGCAGGUAGCCGGAGGCUUCCCCGCGUGGUUGCUGCCGGUUGUUAGCCUGUCCGCCGUGCGGCACGUGACCCGACCGUGGUGUCGCUAGGCCCUCAUGGGCCCCUGCGCCUCCUGCCCUCGACUUGGGCCCCGGAAGAGCGCGGCAGUGGUUCCCGGAACAAGCCCCCGUCGCACCGACCCGCUCGGUGGGCUGAGGAUCCGGAGCCUCGGUGGCCGCGCCGCGUCCGGAGUUGGGACGGCUGGCGGUUUGCGGCGAGUAGAUCGGUCACCCACCCGACCCGUCUUGAAACACGGACCAAGGAGUCUAACAUGUGCGCGAGUCGACGGGUCUCGAAGAAGCCCGGAGGCGCAAUGAAAGCGAAGGCCCUUCACGGCCAAGUCGAGAUCCUCUCCCCUCGAGGGAGCAGGCGCACCGGCGACCCGCCCGUGCGGAUUCAUCCGCUGGGCGGAGUUUGAGCGCACACGUUGGGACCCGAAAGAUGGCGAACUAUGCUCGGGCAGGACGAAGCCAGAGGAAACUCUGGUGGAGGUCCGCAGCGGUUCUGACGUGCAAAUCGAUCG
rnacentral:rRNA from 2 species